UCCCUGGACACAGUGAUUAAAGGGGCCGGCGCCCUGCGAGCGGGGGAUUAGCGGGGCCGGCAGCGCAGGGAUGCGCGGCCACGCUCGGGGCCCGUCGGCCUUUCUGCGUGUAAUUUUAAAGAGCUCAGGGCCUCCCGUAAUCAGGAGCAGAUGGCCGGCAUCGGGCAACUUCCAAAUCUGCCCUGACGUCAGUGGCGCGCGCACACACACAUGCACAAGAAGGGGAAAGAAAUGGAUAGGGUGAAAUCCGUUUAAAGGGCCCGGCAGCCGGGAUUAUUCCUUUCCUUUCUUGAUUUCAUCGUUGUUCAGCACACAGAGGGGAAAUCCACUUAAAAGCAGGAGGUAUUUCUGCGGGGCCCGAGAGGCGAGCGGGUGUCCUCAGGUGGUGGCACGGGCACGGAGGAUGGUGUGGCAGCCCUGGGAUGCUGCAGCUCUGCUGGCACAUGCGUGUUAUUUUGAAGCAUCACCAACUUCGAAAGGACCAGAAAACUGGCAGCACAGGCUUUUGGCAUCUUCCCUCCUGCCUGGCAGCCGAGCGGUCCCUGGGGCAUCAGCGAGGGCUCUCCCGGGAAACAGGGGGUGUCCCAGCACCGGGGGGUGUCCCCGCACUGAUCUGGCUGUUAGCAAUGAGGGUGCUGCUUUGGAGAGUCCCACACUCAUCCUCCAAGACUUGAUGGGUUUGCGUGGGCUGGAAAAGAAGCUCAUUCCCCCAAACCCCGGGCUGGGUUCGAUCCUCCCAUCACCCAGCAUCUCUCUGAAACCGAGAGGUCAGAGGCUUUGUGCUUCUGACCCAUCUCGUCUUCUGACCUUGAUGAAAAUGAGCACUUAAUAACAUUAAAAAUGUCAUCGUGGGGCCCCUCC